GGAGAAAUACCCAAGAGGUCGAAGGGGCUCCCCUGGAAAGGGAGUAGGUCAUGUGAGUGGUGCGAGGGUUCGAAUCCCUCUUUCUCCG
rnacentral:tRNA from 1 species